UACGGAGGGUGCAAGCGUUAUCCGGAUUCACUGGGUUUAAAGGGUGCGUAGGUGGUCUGUUAAGUCAGCGGUGAAAGCCUGGAGCUCAACUCCAGAAUUGCCAUUGAUACUGACGGACUUGAAUCAAGUUGAGGUGGAUGGAAUAUUACAUGUAGCGGUGAAAUGCUUAGAUAUGUAAUAGAACACCAAUUGCGAAGGCAGUUCACUAAGCUUGCAUUGACACUGAGGCACGAAAGUGUGGGGAUCAAACAGG
rnacentral:rRNA from 1 species